UCCCGGCCCCUCAAAAGGGGAAAACGGUUGCAAACAUGUGCUAAUACCGUAUAACAAUCGAAACCGCAUGGUUUCGGUUUGAAAGGCGCUUUUGCGUCACUGAUGGAUGGACCCGCGGUGCAUUAGCUAGUUGGUGAGGUAACGGCUCACCAAGGCAACGAUGCAUAGCCGACCUGAGAGGGUGAUCGGCCACAUUGGGACUGAGACACGGCCCAAACUCCUACGGGAGGCAGCAGUAGGGAAUCUUCGGCAAUGGACGCAAGUCUGACCGAGCAACGCCGCGUGAGUGAAGAAGGUUUUCGGAUCGUAAAACUCUGUUGUUAGAGAAGAACAAGGAUGAGAGUAGAAUGUUCAUCCCUUGACGGUAUCUAACCAGAAAGCCACGGCUAACUACGUGCCAGCAGCCGCGGUAAUACGUAGGUGGCAAGCGUUGUCCGGAUUUAUUGGGCGUAAAGCGAGCGCAGGCGGUUUCUUAAGUCUGAUGUGAAAGCCCCCGGCUCAACCGGGGAGGGUCAUUGGAAACUGGGAAACUUGAGUGCAGAAGAGGAGAGUGGAAUUCCAUGUGUAGCGGUGAAAUGCGUAGAUAUAUGGAGGAACACCAGUGGCGAAGGCGGCUCUCUGGUCUGUAACUGACGCUGAGGCUCGAAAGCGUGGGGAGCAAACAGGAUUAGAUACCCUGGUAGUCCACGCCGUAAACGAUGAGUGCUAAGUGUUGGAGGGUUUCCGCCCUUCAGUGCUGCAGCUAACGCAUUAAGCACUCCGCCUGGGGAGUACGACCGCAAGGUUGAAACUCAAAGGAAUUGACGGGGGCCCGCACAAGCGGUGGAGCAUGUGGUUUAAUUCGAAGCAACGCGAAGAACCUUACCAGGUCUUGACAUCCUUUGACCACUCUAGAGAUAGAGCUUCCCCUUCGGGGGCAAAUUGACAGGUGGUGCAUGGUUGUCUUCAGCUCGGGUCUGUAGAUGUGGAUAAGUCCCGCGACUACACCACCCUUAUUGUAAUUUCCUUCAUUUAGUUGGGCAUUCUAUCGCAGCUGCCUUUCGCCAACCUGAAGGAGCGGGGGACGUAGUAAUAGUUCCAAGCCUAUUUAUUCAGUUGCUGUAACAUGGGUAUUUGAGAGAUAGUAACUUCGAGGCAGGUAUCGAGUGAUGUUAAGCGGUUAUGGUGUCUC
rnacentral:rRNA from 1 species